rnacentral:RNase_P_RNA from 1 species
GAAGUGGGCUGGGCGGCCGCUGCUGACAUGGUCAGGAGAGGAAGGUCCGGACUCCAUAGGGAAGGGUGACGGCUAACGGCCGUACGCAGCAAGUGGGAUGAGACGCCCACCCAAGGCGAGGAAUAGGGCCACAGAGACGAGUAAUUGCGGCCUUCGGGCUGCAAGGAUGUGAAACGCGGUAACCUCCACCCGGAGCAACACCAAAUAGGCACACGGGUGUUCGGUGGAUCCGUCCACCGGAUACGAAGGGCGUCCCGUUCAAGUGUGCGGGUAGGUGGCUUGAGCCUGGUAGCAAUGCCAGGCCUAGAGGGAUGGCCGCUAUAGACCAAGGCCGAGGGUGGCCAAGGUCCGUAACAGAAUCCGGCCUACAGGCCCACUUCCCUU